rnacentral:lncRNA from 1 species
GGGAGAUCACCAAGAGGGAGAAACAGCAGGUCAUAAAGCGUGUGCAUGAAGACUGCUCCAGGGUGAGAAGCGACAUGUGCCAGGCACUGAGCAUACAGCACUACCUGGCCUCACUGCUGGCAGAGACGGACCCCUUCCUGCUCAUCUGGGUUACUAGCCGACCUGAA